CCAAUCGAACCCGGAGAUAGCUGGUUCUCCUCGAAAUAGCUUUAGGGCUAGCCUCAUGGAUCAUUGGUGGGGGUAGAGCACUGAAUGUGCGCGGGGGCCACAAAGCCUACCAAACGCUAUCAAACUUCGAAUACCAUACAAUGCAGACCAUGGGAGUCAGUCCGCGAGAGAUAAGUUCCGCGGGCAAAAGGGGAACACCCCAGAUCAACCGCUAAGGUCCCCAAGUUCACGUUAAGUGGAGAAGGAUGUGGAAUUGCACAGACAACCAGGAUGUUGGCUCAGAAGCAGCCACACAUUUAAAGAGUGCGUAAUAGCUCACUGGUCGAGUGAUUGUGCGCCGAAGAUGUCCGGGGCUAAACGUGACACCGAAGCGAUGGGUGCAUCUGAAGAAGAUGCGCGGUAGAGGAGCAAUGUGCAGAGGCAGAAGCCGUAUCGAGAGGCACGGUGGACACUGCACAAGAGAGAAUGCCGGUAUGAGUAGCGAGAGGCAUGCGAGAAACAUGCCCGUCGAAAGCCCAAGGUUUCCUGGGGAAGGUUCAUCCGCCCAGGGUAAGUCGGGGCCUAAGCCGAGGACGGAAGUCGUAGGCGAUGGACAGCAGGUGUAGAUUCCUGCACUACCGAUGGAAUGAAGCAGUGACACAGAAGGAUAACUCGAGCAGGGUGAUGGUCAACCCUGUGCAAGCAUCAAGGUUGGGUUGUAGUGAAGUACGCAACCCUAUAAGCUGAGAUGUGAUGCGGACCGAAAUUUCAGUAGGGAAGCGAGUGAGUUCACGCUGGCGAGAAAAGCUGCUAGUACAUCCAAAGGUACCCGUACCGGAAACCGACGCAGGUGGGCGAGGAGAGAAUCCUGAGACGAACGGGAGAACCCUUGUUAAGGAACUCGGCAAAAUGACCCCGUAACUUCGGGAGAAGGGGUGCCUCGAAAGAGGCCGCAGAGAAUAGUCACAAGCGACUGUUUAGCAAAAACACAGGUAUCUGCGAAAGCGAGAGCUGACGUAUAGGUGCUGACGCCUGCCCGGUGCUGGAAGGUUAAGGGGAAGUGUUAGGGGAAACCCGAAGCAGAGAACCGAAGCCCCAGUAAACGGCGGCCGUAACAAUAACGGUCCUAAGGUAGCGAAAUUCCUUGUCGGGUAAGUUCCGACCCGCACGAAUGGUGUAACGACUUGUGAGCUGUCUCAACAGGGGGCCCGGUGAAAUUGAAGUAUGGGUGAAGAUGCCCAUUACCCGCGACUGGACGGAAAGACCCCGUAGAGCUUUACUGCAGCCUGAUAUUGAGUUUCGGUAACUGAUGCACAGGAUAGGUGGGAGUCUGAGAGACAUGGGUUUCGGCUCAUGUGGAGACGGUGUUGGGAUACCACUCUUCGGUUACUGAAAUUCUAACAUAGCUCUGUGAAACCAGAGGAUGGACAGUGUCAGGUGGACAGUUUGACUGGGGCGGUCGCCUCCGAAAGAGUAACGGAGGCGCCCAAAGGU
rnacentral:rRNA from 1 species